UCAUAAAGAGAGACUUAUAGCCUGACUUCCUAAUUUGAAUCAUAUGACAAGCAUAUAUAGGACAAAAUUCAUAUUUAAAUUCUUAUUCAUUACUUCCUCUUCAAAUAUCACUAGCUCUUAAAUUUCUUUCAGGAAAAUAGUUCUACACUUUGUAAUAAGGGUGGAGAUGGAUUUCAAGUGGAGAAGAGAAAGGUGAAGACCAAGUUGACAACAAGCGUUAAAUUUUUAGCUGCACUGAAUAAUUUUUUUUGGACUGGUAAAAGACAAAGGGAGUUGACUAGUUGCUGUGACACUGUGUAUAACAACUUCAAAUGAUGCGCGGCGAAGCAUUCCUCCUUCACUUGGAUCGAACCAUGUAUCAAAGGAUUUCGAAGAAGACAUGAUGUGAAGAAAAUAUGUUCUAUACAAAUAUCACAUGGGAUGGGUCUCACACUUUAGUUAUCUAAAUGUAAUUUUUCUUAUGUGUUUCGUACUUUUUGAAAAGAGACUUUACUCGGUAUUACAUGUAAUUGGAUACAUUAUACUCUAUUUUGAUUUAUGUUAUUUAGACUAAAAACUAAACAUAUCUAGUUUAUAAUGAAAGUUUUAUGAUUUACAUUUCUUGUUCUUAGAUUUAUUUUGUGAUUAUCAUUAAUUUGAGAUGUGAUUAUGCUUUAAAAAAAAUUAAAGCUCAUAAAACAAAACAGGCUAUGGUCACCGUUUUAAAAUAGGGUGACCAUAGAUAACCUAUGGUCACGGCCAAAACCGUGACCAUAGGCUCUAUGGUCACGGUUUUGAAGACGGGUGGCCAUACAGGCUAUGGUCACGGUUUUCAGUAAGGGUGACCAUAGAGGCUAUGGUCACGGCCAAAACCGUGACCAUAGAUAAGG